rnacentral:tRNA from 1 species
GCGAAAGUGGCGGAACUGGUAGACGCGCUAUCUUGAGGGGGUAGUGAGGUUUCCUCGUGGGGGUUCGAGUCCCCCUUUUCGCA